ACCCGACCAUCGGCGCCAGGGGCGAACAGCCGAAACUGCUCCGGGACGCAGUACUGCUCCCGGAGCCGAUCGACGUUCGGCCCCGAAAGUGAAGAAGCCUCCACCUCCGGGGACGACCGAGUGUCUUCGGUCGGUUCUCCCGACCGACUACCUCGUGGGGACGUCCUGGCCAUGAGUUCAAGGAAAUGGCGAGGAAGAAAGAAAGGAGGAGGGGGAAAGCUACUCUAGCCCUUGGAAGGAAGGAAUCGCAAAUGGGGGGCGGAGCGGAGAAGUACCUGGAGCGGAGGCUCAAGCGGCAGAGUCUCGACUGUAAAAAUGAG
rnacentral:lncRNA from 1 species